UGAGCAAGACUGAUUACCUUACGCGGCUUUUAGAAGCGGUGGAAAUGUAGACGGGACGAUUAUGACAAUAUUUAGCCCGGCCAUUAAAGCGUCUGCAUGAUGGGAUACUGAUUGACAGUUGUUCUGGUCCAAUCGGAAGAGCGGAGCCCAGCGCAUCGGCCGCGUCAUGCCCAUAUUUGGAGGAGAGACCACGCCCAUGUUAAUUCGCCCCAGAGGCAGACGACGAAAAAAGGGCGGGGCCAUGGCAUGGCGCCAACAAACGAACGGUUUGCACUCAACUAUGGCUAGCAAACGUCAUUUAAGCUUCUUUUGUCUUCGUAACCUGUUUGUUUUUUAACUGUUGUUUUUCAGUCUAUGUUGUUACGUCUUACAAUAGUAUGAAACUUUGACAUUUUCCAAUUAAAACAGUGGUGAAAAGUAACGACAAACAAAUCACUAAAAGCGUUCUUCGAAAAGUGAGUGACAGUCGGUCGAGCCAUCGGCUUUAUCCGCAUGGUCGGGUGCCAAAUGCCUUCGCCAAGACGACAGGCCCAAUGUCUACUGGCCAGCAUUGAACAGCUUCAUUCUGCCCUCCAUACCCGACAUGGCGUCCACGUUCUUGCGCCAGUCCGUCACUUCCUCUUUCUUCUUGAGGUUAGCCUUGAAGUCCACCGACUCUUUGACUUUGGCGCCCAGCAGCGCUCCCAACAUGGCGUCUGCAGACACCCUCACCCGUUUCAGGGUCGGCCUUUUCAUCUUCCCCUUCAACUCAUAGAUCUUCUGAGACAGCCAAAAGCAUGGAGCCGGCCCUCCUCAGCAAGAUGGACUUGAACGUAAGAAGGUCAUUACUCUCCGGUCCUGGCCUUUCAAAUAUUUUCACAUCGUAUCUGCUGGACUCACCUUCAAGUGGAGUCGGCGAGUGGCCGAAUAUUUGGGUUUUCUCUGCGAGGUAAAUGGCUACACUACACAUCUGCUUGGAAUAGCUUAUUGAUUGAAUGCUGAGCGAUCAGGGUGGAUUCAAAUCCAAUUUGCUAAUACGCUAAUCUAUGCUAAUAUUUUUCCUCAACCCUGAUAUCUCUCAACAUUCACAAGAAACGUAUUGGAAUUUUUUGUUAGUCAUACUCACCGGCCUUUUGUGGAAAAUGUGACAGGCAGUCAAA